UACGUAGGGGGCAAGCGUUGUCCGGAUUUACUGGGCGUAAAGAGCGCGCAGGCGGUCGUUCAAGUCGCGUGUGAAAGCCCCCGGCUCAACUGGGGAGGGUCACGCGAUACUGAUCGACUCGAAGGCAGGAGAGGGAAGUGGAAUUCCCGGUGUAGUGGUGAAAUGCGUAGAUAUCGGGAGGAACACCAAUGGCGAAGGCAGCUCGCUGGGACGUGACUGACGCUGAGACGCGAAAGCGUGGGGAGCAAACAGG
rnacentral:rRNA from 1 species